rnacentral:rRNA from 1 species
AGCGGCAAAAGCUCAAAUUUGAAAUCUGGCGUCUUUGGCGUCCGAGUUGUAAUUUGAAGAAGGUAUCUUUGGGCCCGGCUCUUGUCUAUGUUCCUUGGAACAGGACGUCACAGAGGGUGAGAAUCCCGUGCGAUGAGAUGACCCGGGUCUGUGUAAAGUUCCUUCGACGAGUCGAGUUGUUUGGGAAUGCAGCUCUAAGUGGGUGGUAAAUUCCAUCUAAAGCUAAAUAUUGGCGAGAGACCGAUAGCGAACAAGUACAGUGAUGGAAAGAUGAAAAGAACUUUGAAAAGAGAGUGAAAAAGUACGUGAAAUUGUUGAAAGGGAAGGGCUUGAGAUCAGACUUGGUAUUUUGCAUGCUGCUCUCUCGGGGGCGGCCGCUGCGGUUUACCGGGCCAGCAUCGGUUUGGAGCGGCAGGAUAAUGGCGGAGGAAUGUGGCACGGCUUCUGCUGUGUGUUAUAGCCUCUGACGAUACUGCCAGCCUAGACCGAGGACUGCGGUUUUUAACCUAGGAUGUUGGCAUAAUGAUCUUAAGUCGCCCGUCUUGAAACACGGACCAAGGAGUCUAACGUCUAUGCGAGUGUUUGGGUGUAAAACCCGUACGCGUAAUGAAAGUGAACGAAGGUGGGGGCCCAUUAGGGUGCACCAUCGACCGAUCCUGAUGUGUUCGGAUGGAUUUGAGUAAGAGCAUAGCUGUUGGGACCCGAAAGAUGGUGAACUAUGCCUGAAUAGGGUGAAGCCAGAGGAAACUCUGGUGGAGGCUCGUAGCGGUUCUGACGUGCAAAUCGAUCGUCGAAUUUG